UACGUAGGGGGCAAGCGUUAUCCGGAUUUACUGGGUGUAAAGGGAGCGUAGACGGCUUUGCAAGCCAGAUGUGAAAGCCCGGGGCUCAACCCCGGGACUGCAUUUGGAACUGUAUGGCUGGAGUGUCGGAGAGGCAGGCGGAAUUCCUAGUGUAGCGGUAAAAUGCGUAGAUAUUAGGAGGAACACCAGUGGCGAAGGCGGCCUGCUGGACGAUGACUGACGUUGAGGCUCGAAAGCGUGGGGAGCAAACAGG
rnacentral:rRNA from 1 species